UGGAAAGAUUAAUAUUUCAGAGUUUGUAUUAUUACCUAUACAAUAUUAUAAAUAUUAAUAUUCGGAGUUGGAAUUUCUUCUCCAAGACAACAUAGUGCAUCUUUAACAAAUGACAACAACUAGCACACGAAAGCAUGAAGAGUUUCUCUACAUUAAGUGUAUUUAAUUUUCAUAUUUCACAUGAAUAUUCAGUCCAAGGACAUUAUAGAUGGUGAUUUUGUGUUUGGAUGGACACCACUCUUUAUUAUGAAGCCGCAGAUACUUCGACACAGGAGACAAAGGAUUAAAUCUUAGUUCGAGUCUUUGAUCUUUGACCUUAUGUGCGUGCGUGCGAGUGCGCGCAUGUGUGUGCGUGUUUGGUUCGGGAGUGCAUCUGUGUGUUUAGUUCGAGACUUUGAUCUUUGAUUUCGAUUCGGAACUCUUCACAGUAACCCUGGAAACGCAGCGGAGCAGUCACACUGCGGAUCUGGCCGGACGGACAACAAGUUUACCAUCUUUCUCCUCGUCGCUGAAGACUUUUCUCAACUUUAUCUCUUCAGAGACACGCGGGGGAAACGUGCACCGCUUGUGAAAAACGGACGCAGAUCCAUUUUUUCGCGGACAGACAGCUGUUUUGUGACUGUCAUGAUGAGACCUCCGCCUCAGUGGACUGAAAGCAGUGACAGCAGGAGGACACAGCUGAACUUCAGAUCUCUCUUCAGGACCAGGCGGGGCUGGAAAGUGGAUCGUGAGGGUCCUGCUGUGAAAUCCUGAAGAAGACGUCUUAAAUAACCCUGGAAACGCAGCGGAGCAGUCACACUGCGGAUCUGGCCGGACGAACAACAAGUUUACCAUCUUUCUCCUCGUCGCUGAAGACUUUUCUCAACUUUAUCUCUUCAGAGACACGCGGGGGAAACGUGCACCGCUUGUGAAAAACGGACGCAGAUCCAUUUUUCGCGGACAGACAGCUGUUUUGUGACUGUCAUGAUGAGACCUCCGCCUCAGUGGACUGAAAGCAGUGACAGCAGGAGGACACAGCUGAACUUCAGAUCUCUCUUCAGGACCAGGCGGGGCUGGAAAGUGGAUCGUGAGGGUCCUGCUGUGAAAUCCUGAAGAAGACGUCUUAAAGUAGGGAUCGACGUGCUCAAUACAAAUUAUACUCCUCAAAAUUAGGGAUAUGGGAUCAUAUUUACAUGUGUUCUGUCAAAUUUAAUGUGUGGCAUUAAUUUGGGGGAUCAAUAUUUACAAAACAAACUAAAAAGUGUGUGAAACACUGAAAUAUCCCAAUAUCCCUAAAUCAUUUUGAGUAGUGUAUGUUUUUCUACAUUACUCCAGUGAUCUCUGCUGUCGCUUUUUCUCUCUGUGUCACACACACACCCACACACACACACACACACAGUACAUUUCUCCAGUUCACUCCCUCUCUUUCUCUCUGGAAAUUAAUUUGUUUUAUCAGGCAGAAAGAAAGGAAAAUUCAUGUGCUAUUUCUCUGGGGUCCUUCACUUUUAGUCUGCUGGAAACCCGUAUAUGACUCAUACUAAACCCAGAAAUGUUGUUUCCUAUGAACUUUUAUUAUUAAAAUGUCAUCUAUAGGUUUAGGAGAUGAGAUUAGGCUUGGUAGCUAAAAGUUGCUCGUUGGGUAAUUAGCAUAAUGAGCUAAUUAAGGGAAGACACAACAGGUGAAGCAUAGGGAACAAUUUUUAACUAAUAUAUCAUCAUGAAACCUUCCCCUGUGAUUACUAAGAUUAAGACAAUUAGUUUUUUGUAUUAUGAGUUUUCUGAAAUUGUAUGUUUAAAUAUGCAAAUGAAUCAUUAUCCAAUUAAAUAUGUGCUAAUUUUCAUACAUUUCCAGAACAUAAAUCUAAACACUGGAUAAAGCAAGGUUCAAAAUUCCUGUUUCAUUCUGUAGACAUGUAGACUUGUAGACUUGUAGCCUGAUUUAUGUAAUGUCUAAUUCCUAAAAACAGAUCGAAAAGUGUUUUUUAUGGCUGUUGACAGUAUUUUCUGAUUUAUGGAGUGAUAAAAAGAGAAAUCCGAAAUUCCCUCGGUAAAAACCUUUGGCUAUAACAUGUCACUAGGCCUAUAGAUUACAUUUCAAUUAUAAAAGUUUAUAGGAAUCACGAUUUCUGGGUCCAAGAAAUUUCCAGUAGACUGUCAUGUCAUGUCAUUGUCCGUAACCGCUUAUCCCUUUCCAUGGGGUUGCGGGGUGUUGCUGCUGGAGCCCAUCCCAGCCUUGUCUCAGGGUGAGGGCAGGGUACUACCUGGACAAGUAUUUCCAGUAGACUAUUUUACCAAAGUUAUAUUGUAAAAUGAUGUGUUUACUUUUACUCAGAUGUGACUUUCAGGCACGUCUUACAACACUGAUGGGGAGGAAGUGUAACUUUGCACUUCUCUAUUUAUAACUUCAAAUCUUACUUUUCUCCUUCUUUCUCUGUUCAGAGACCACUUGCUAUGUUAUUGUGUUGUUGUAAAAUACUGUUUGCAUGGCUUUAACAGUAUUUUCUUCUGGUGUCAUUCUCUUACAAUUGCAUUUUUAUUUGGAAUAGUUAUAGCUCACCAGUUUAUGGUUUAGUCACAAAACUAACUUGAAUUUUGGUGAGUUUUUAGGGUUUUGUUGGAGAAAACCCUAAAUAUUCACCGAAAAUCUUUUCAUUGUUGUGUCUAAACCAUAAGAUGGAGGAUUGUGUUGAAAUAAGUUGCUCAUUUCUGUUAUAUUGUCAACACAGUACUGAUCAUUCCUGUCUUCUUGUGAAUAUGCUUGUGAAGUUUAAAAGAGGGUUUCUAUUAUGCAGUUCAAAGGGUUGUGUCAUGAUACAUAGUUUUUUUUUCAAAGCAAAUUUCAACCAUUGCCUGACUGAUGUAGUUGGAAGCUGAUCUUUGCUCAGUGGAGAGUGGUGUCAGAAUCUGCCUUUUUUUUUUCUUUUCUGUAAAUGUAAUUUCUUCAAUUUGUAAUAUCACGAUGUCUGCAGGCCUUGGAAGAGGGUCCCUCUUGUUUGUUUCUUCCCAAGGCUUCCUCCAAUUUUACUACACAAGUAGUUUUUCAGGAGGUUUAACCUUGCCACUCGAGGGGGAUGUCGUGAUACACGGUUUCUGGGGGUUAUUUGUUCUAAUUUUUGCAUCUUUGACUGUCAAAACACCACUUCACCCUGGAUGGAGGUCCCUCUUGGGCCCAUUUUCCCAAAGCAGCUUUCAACCAUUAACUCAGUGAUGCAGUUGUUGAAAGUUAAUUGUUUUAACUGGUAAAUGAUGUCAUUUUGCAAUUGUUUGAAAAGAUCAUUUUAAUGUUAUUGUGUAGGAUUUUCAUUGUAACGCGUACAUUUGAACACAUACCAAACCGAUCAUGUUUCUCUUAUCGUCCGUUUUGGGUCACUUGUUGCGUUCGACUGUUGAGUUCUUGCGAAAAUUUCAUUUUUCAUGGCAAAACACCGUAGCGCUCUAAAAGAGGACUGCCCUGUGUCUAUUUUCCCGAAGCAGAUUUCAACCAUUGCCUGACUGAUGUAGUUGGAAGCUGAUCUUUGCUCAGUGGAGAGUGGUGUCAGAAUCUGCUGUUACUUUUUUUUUUUUUUUUUCUGCAAAUGUAAUUUCUUCUAUUUGUAAUAUCAUGAUGUCUGCAGGCCUUGGAAGAGGGUCCCUCUUGUGUGUUUCUUCCCAAGGAUCCCUCCAAUUUUACUACAUGAGUAGUUUUUCAGGAGGUUUAACCUUGCCACUCGAGGGAGAUGUCGUGAUACAUAGUUUCUGGAGGUUAUUUGUUCUUAUUUUUGCAUCUGUGACUGUCAAGACACCACUUCACCCUGGAUGGAGGUCCCUCUUGGGCCCAUUUUCCCAAAGCAGCUUUCAACCAUUACCUCAGUGAUGCAGUUGUUGAAAGUUAAUUGUUUUAACUGGUAAAUAAUGUCAUUUUGCAAUUGUUUGAAAAGAUCAUUUUAAUGUUAUUGUGUAGGAUUUUCAUUGUAACGCGUACAUUUGAACACAUACCAAACCGAUCAUGUUUCUCUUAUCGUCCGUUUUGGGUUACUUGUUGUGUUCGACUGUUGAGUUCUUGCGAAAAUAUAAUUUUUCAUGGCAAAACACCGUAACGCUCUGAAAAAGGACUGCCCUGUGUCCAUUUUCCAAAAGCAGAUUUCAAGCAUUGCCUGACUGAUGUAGUUGGAAGCUGAUCUUUGCUCAGUGGAGAGUGGUGUCAGAAUCUGCCGUUACUUUGUUGUUUUUUUUUCUGCAAAUGUAAUUUCUUCUAUUUGUAAUAUCACGAUGUCUGCAGGCCUUGGAAGAGGGUCCCUCUUGUGUGUUUCUUCCCAAGGAUCCCUCCAAUUUUACUACAGGAGUAGUUUUUCAGGAGGUUUAACCUUGCCACUCGAGGGGGAUGUCGUGAUACAUAGUUUCUGGAGGUUAUUUGUUCUUAUUUUUGCAUCUGUGACUGUCAAGACACCACUUCACCCUGGAUGGAGGUCCCUCUUGGGCCCAUUUUCCCAAAGCAGCUUUCAACCAUUACCUCAGUGAUGCAGUUGUUGAAAGUUAUUUGAUUAAACUUGUAAAUUAUAUCAUUUUGAGAUUAUUUGCAAAGUUCCCAUGAAGUUAUUGUGUAGGUUUUCUCAUUGGAACGCGUACAUUUGAACACAUACCAAAUCGAUCAUAUUUCUCUUACCGUCCGUUUUGGGUCACUUGUUGCGUUCGACUGUUGAGUUCUUGCGAAAAUAUAAUUUUUCAUGGCAAAACACCGUAGCGCUCUAAAAGAGGACUGCCCUGUGUCUAUUUUCCCGAAGCAGAUUUCAACCAUUGCCUGACUGAUGUAGUUGGAAGCUGAUCUUUGCUCAGUGGAGAGUGGUGUCAGAAUCUGCCGUUACUUUUUUUUUUUUUUUUCUGCAAAUGUAAUUUCUUCUAUUUGUAAUAUCACGAUGUCUGCAGGCCUUGGAAGAGGGUCCCUCUUGUUUGUUUCUUCCCAAGGAUUCCUCCAAUUUUACUACAUGAGUAGUUUUUCAGGAGGUUUAACCUUGCCACUCGAGGGGGAUGUCGUGAUACACGGUUUCUGGGGAUUGUUUGUUCUAAUUUUUGCAUCUUUGACUGUCAAGACACCACUUCACCCUGGAUGGAGGUCCCUCUUGGGCCCAUUUUCCCAAAGCAGCUUUCAACCAUUAACUCAGUGAUGCAGUUGUUGAAAGUUAAUUGUUUUAACUGGUAAAUGAUGUCAUUUUGCAAUUGUUUGAAAAGAUCAUUUUAAUGUUAUUGUGUAGGAUUUUCAUUGUAACGCGUACAUUUGAACACAUACCAAACCGAUCAUGUUUCUCUUAUCGUCCGUUUUGGGUCACUUGUUGCGUUCGACUGUUGAGUUCUUGCGAAAAUUUCAUUUUUCAUGGCAAAACACCGUAGCGCUCUAAAAGAGGACUGCCCUGUGUCUAUUUUCCCGAAGCAGAUUUCAACCAUUGCCUGACUGAUGUAGUUGGAAGCUGAUCUUUGCUCAGUGGAGAGUGGUGUCAGAAUCUGCCGUUACUUUGUUUUUUUUUUUUUCUGCAAAUGUAAUUUCUUCUAUUUGUAAUAUCACGAUGUCUGCAGGCCUUGGAAGAGGGUCCCUCUUGUGUGUUUCUUCCCAAGGAUCCCUCCAAUUUUACUACAUGAGUAGUUUUUCAGGAGGUUUAACCUUGCCACUCGAGGGGGAUGUCGUGAUACAUAGUUUCUGGAGGUUAUUUGUUCUUAUUUUUGCAUCUGUGACUGUCAAGACACCACUUCACCCUGGAUGGAGGUCCCUCUUGGGCCCAUUUUCCCAAAGCAGCUUUCAACCAUUACCUCAGUGAUGCAGUUGUUGAAAGUUAUUUGAUUAAACUUGUAAAUUAUAUCAUUUUGAGAUUAUUUGCAAAGUUCCCAUGAAGUUAUUGUGUAGGUUUUCUCAUUGGAACGCGUACAUUUGAACA